UUUGUGCUGUUUUUUGAAAAUGUCUAUUAGUGCAAUACUGGUGCAAGUUUUUUUACAAUGUUAUUUUAAGUUAUUUGUUAUGUGAAAAUCGCGUGUCAGAUACUGUAAUAGUGACACUAAUAUUUAAAAAUAAUAUUAAAGUUGAAGUGUUUUGUACCUCUUGUUUCGUCGCGAAAACGUAGCCAACUCUCUGCUGAAGAAACCCAUUGGAUGAAGUGAUGCAUCAUUCACUAUAAGUAUAAGGUGAUUCACCUGUGGAAAAAGGUACUAUUGGUAGUAACGAAUGCCAGUGCUUUACAGGAGUCUGAGAAAGAAAUUGUUGAUUUUUUGAAAAAUAAAAGGUUUGUCUACAGAUAUUGUUUCAGAAUCCAAAAGUAAUGUAUCAGUUGGCAAGAGGCUUCAAAUCUGUUUUAUAUCUGGGAAUUGCAGUAUUUGCUGGUUCCAUGUUUGUUUUCUUGAUAUCUCCAAGUCCCGAGAAGAUAUUAAAGAAACUACCUGGAAUUCAAAUGACAGAUGAAGAACAAAUUGCAGAAGGAAAUUUUAUUUCAAACUUACUAGAACAAACACCAAACAAUAGUGAAGAAAAACAAGAAUCACAAAAAUAA